GUUUUUUGCAGCCUGUGAUAUUAACACCGAGUCUGAGAUGGACAAUAAACCUAUGCCCAGCACAAUGCUUGGACAUAGAUUAUUAGUUAGAACGAGGAUUGCUGGAGACAAUGAGGACACGAAGGUGAUAACAGCAUAAUGCACUUUUAAAGUUCAUUAUCCAAUUCUAGAGGAGACCAUGCUGGAUUUUAUCAAAGAUAGACAUUUUGACAGCACCCCAAUAAUAUGGAUUAAAACUAAGAGAUACAGCAGAGCACCACAUAGAUGUAAGUUAUAAAUACAAUAUAACGAAGAAAAGGCUUUAAACGUGCACGUUAACACACUGGAUUUCGUGAAGAUGACUUGGAUAUCUCUUAUUUUAAAACUAAUGGGAUUGAAGGCACUAUUGAUGUUUCUCCUAAAUUUGUCAUGGCUGAUAUUUCACCUGAAAACUGUUUAGUACAUUCUUUAAAUUCACCAACCUUUGUCUGCGUUUUAUUUGAUGUAUGCUGUUUUUUAAGGUUUAACUACCUUUUUUCCCAAAUCAUGCUAUUUUUAAGGUUCUAAUCAUAACCUCCUUAGAAGAUCAGGUAAGAGCGACCAACUAAUCUAAAAGCCUCGGUGCCCAAAUUCAGUAUUAAUUGAAAUGUUUUGGACAGGUCAGUCAAUAAUUUACCAUACUCUGUCCUUUCUACUUUUUAUAAAUCUGGAUGUUGCACAACUGCUGUGAAUGGAGAACGAGAUGAAGCACAUUUAAAACAAAUAAGUUUGGGUGGAACAGCAGAUUGUUGUAGACUGCAGAUAAAUUAACACAACAAUCUUUUCAGGAUUAAAAGGCUUAAAAAAUGUUUAUGAACGGGUUUGAUUGCCAUUUCUAUCACACGUUUAUGCGUGUUUUUUUUUUCAUAAGUUUUGAAACCAAAUUUUGCAACAUAAGAUAAACACAAGAUAUAACAGAUAUUGCAG